rnacentral:rRNA from 1 species
GACGAACGCUGGCGGCGUGCUUAACACAUGCAAGUCGAACGGUAAGGCCCUUCGGGGUACACGAGUGGCGAACGGGUGAGUAACACGUGGGUGAUCUGCCCUGCACUUCGGGAUAAGCCUGGGAAACUGGGUCUAAUCCCGGAUAGGACUCCUGGCUUCAUGGUUGGGGGUGGAAAGCUUUUGCGGUGUGGGAUGGGCCCGCGGCCUAUCAGCUUGUUGUGGGGUAAUGGCCUACCAAGGCGACGACGGGUAGCCGGCCUGAGAGGGUGACCGGUCACACUGGGACUGAGAUACGGCCCAGACUCCUACGGGAGGCAGCAGUGGGGAAUAUUGCACAAUGGGCGCAAGCCUGAUGCAGCGACGCCGCGUGAGGGAUGGCGGCCUUCGGGUUGUAAACCUCUUUCAGCUAUGACGAAGCGCAAGUGACGGUAGUAGCAGAAGAAGGACCGGCCAACUACGUGCCAGCCGCCGCCGUAA